rnacentral:misc_RNA from 1 species
GAUGAAGAACGUAGCGAAAUGCGAUAAGUAAUGUGAAUUGCAGAAUUCAGUGAAUCAUCGAAUCUUUGAACGCACAUUGCGCCGGCCAGUACUCUGGCGGGCAUGCCUGUUCGAGCGUCAUUACAACCCUCAGGCCCCCGGGCCUGGCGUUGGGGAUCGGCGGAAGCCCCCUGCGGGCACCACGCCGUCCCCCAAAUACAGUGGCGGUCCCGCCGCAGCUUCCAUUGCGUAGUAGCUAACACCUCGGAACUGGAGAGCGGCGCGGCCACGCCGUAAAACACCCAACUUCUGAAUGUUGACCUCGAAUCAGGUAGGAAUACCCGCUGAACUUAAGCAUAUCAAUAGCGGAGGA